rnacentral:lncRNA from 1 species
CAUAGGAGAACAAAAUAAAGUAAACUAGUCUCCCUUUAAGAACUAGUCUUCCAACUUCAAACUCUUCCGGCACCUGCUUGGGAGUAUCUCAUGGGAUAGGUUGCUAGAAGGCAAGAGUGCUUGUGAGAGCUGGGCUACAUUUAAUCAGCACUUCUUCCAUGCAUCCUGGUGCAUCCCGAGGAAUAGAAAAUCGGGGAAGGGGGGCAGGAAACCCGCAUGGAUGAGAAAGGAGCUCAUCAAUAAGAUCAAAAGCAAGAGGAUGGUCUAUGAAAUGUGGAAAAAGGGCCUGUCCUCUUCGGAGAAGUAUAGAUGUGUUGUCAGGGCCUGCAGGGGCGCUAUAAGGAAGGCUAAAGCCUACCGAGAGAUGAGGCUUGCAAAAGAGAUAAAGGAUAAUAAGAUGAGUUUUUUCAAGUAUGUAAACAGCAAGAGGAAGACUAGGGAUAAUGUGGGUCCCUUGCUGAAUGAGGGGGCUGUCCUAGUCACGGGAGAUGCUGAGAAGGCAGAGAUACUGAAUGCUUUCUUUGCUUCAGUCUUUGCUUCAAGGAUACUCCCCCAGGACUCCUCACCCCUGACAACAGGACAAAGGGUCUGGGAAAUGGAGGGCUCCCCCCUGGUGAACGUGGGAGUGGUUCAGGAGCGUCUGAGUGGGCUCAAUGCACACAAAUCCAUGGGUCCCGAUGGGAUGCAUCCGUGUGUGCUAAGGGAGCUGGCAGAUGUGAUCGCUGAACCGCUCUCUAUAAUCUUUGAAAGGUCCUGGAGAAUGGGUGAGGUGCCUGAAGACUGGAGGAUAGCCAAUGUCAAUCCGGUUUUCAAGAAGGGCAGGAAGGAGGAUCUGGGAAACUACAGGCCAGUCAGUCUCACCUCUGUCCCUGGAAAGGUAUUGGAGCAGCUUGUUCUGGAAGCCAUCUCCAAGCAAUUGGAAGAGAAGAAGGUUAUGAGGAGUAGUCAGCAUGGAUUCACCAAGGGGAAGUCGUGCUCGACCAACCUCGUUGCCUUCUAUGAUGGCAUCACCAGCUGGGUAGAUGGGCGGAGAGCGGUGGAUGUCAUCUACCUUGACUUCAGCAAGGCUUUUGAUACUGUCUCCCAUGACACCCUACUAGCAAAGCUGAGAAAGUGUGGGAUAGAUGAGUGGAUGGCAAGGUGGGUUGAGAACUGGCUAUCUG